UCUGUGUUUCAGGUUAGUUCAGAGUUUCAGAGAAUCACCACACUGAAUCUUGAGCCAAAAUUCAUGGUAAAUGUAGGACACCUAUACACCUAGACUGCUGUCCUUGUUUCAAGCAAAGAAAGAUGCUGCAGGAGAGAGACAUCGGGCAUGAAUGUUCUACUUCAGGUUAGUUCAGAGUUUCAGAGAAUCACCACACUGAAUCUUGAGCCAAAAUUCAUGGUAAAUGUAGGACACCUAUACACCUAGACUGCUGUCCUUGUUUCAAGCAAAGAAAGAUGCUGCAGGAGAGAGACAUCGGGCAUGAAUGUUCUACUUCAGUCAAAUACCUAAUCAACAGACACGUGAGGUUGUCAUCAGAUUUCUUAUCGACCAUCUUGGAGAAGAUGCCAGUGUGUUGUUCAUGGACUUUGAGAUUAGUAUAAUAAAAAAUAAAAUGCAAUCAUGGUAAAUUAUUGUAAUCAUGGUUGGCCAUUAAGUUACUGCAGCACAGUUUGUGGUUUCCUUACCGCACACAAAGAAGAAGCUGCUUUUUAUCUGUGGACAUCAGAUACUGUACGAGUCACCAACAUUCAUUUAUAGAUCGAUGCUGACUGAUUUUACUCUGUCCUGCUUUAAAUACAUAAAAUUUUAUUGUCUGUCACUUUUAUUUUGAGAGAAAUAUACUGUAUUUUUUGGACUAUAAGUUGCGCUUUUUUUCAUAGUUUGGGUGGGGGGGGCGACUCAUACUCAGGAGCGACUUAUAUGUGAAAUUAUUCUCAGAUUUUUACUUGAUCAUUAACACAUUACUUACCGUAAUUUCCGGAGUAUAAGUCGCACCAGCCAUAAAAUGCCCAAAAAUGUGAAAAAAACAUACAAGUCGCUCCGGAGUAUAAAUCGCAUUUUGGGGGGCAAUUUAUUCGACAAAAUCCAACACCAAGAACAGACAUGAACGAGCAACAACAGGCUAAACGAUACGGUAUGCUAACGUGACAAACACAAACGAGGAGCUGAGAAUGGGCCUGACGUAACAUUCAGUUAUUUAAAAAAAACUAUCACAUAAAUAACACGUUUAUAAAACCAUCUGUGUCACUCCAAUUCAUUAAAUCCAUCGAUCGUCCUUUGUCAACAAUGCCGUGUGCCGCGCCGCAGUUCAAAUUAUUCCACAGGCACAUACAACGAUAUGUAAACUAUAUUUUAAAUAACUAUCACAUAAACAACAAUAUUAUCAAACCAUUUGUGUCACUCCAAAUCAUUAAAUCCAUCGAUCAAAUUUCUCGUCCUUUAUGUCAUCCUGGUGACAGAGGACAUGUCCAGAGGAUAUGGCGCUUUAAAGUGUUAAUUACUUUAUUUGAUUUUUUCUCUCUAUUUUUCCAUGUUUUGAAUAUGUUCAAGAUAAAGAUAUCAAAGCAUGUGAAGUGAACAACUAUACUAAAAAUAACAUGUGAAGUGGUCAACUACGUAUACUUGUAAGUAAGUGAUGUGUUAAUGAUCAAGUAAAAAUUUGUGAAAAAAACAUAUAAGUCGCUCCGGAGUAUAAACUAUGAAAAAAAACGCGACUUACAGUCCGAAAAUUACGGUACUAGUAUAGUUGAUCACUUCACAUGUUAUUUUCACUUUAAACCGCAUAAGGGCGUAUUUUGGCUGUGGAAUAAUUGGACCCUCACUGAUAAUGAGUUCCUUUCAUUGACUUCCAGAGUCAGGAGAUUUAAUGAUUUGAAAUGGUAUCAUCUGAAAACGGCCUUCAAAAUAAAGCACCCUACCUAAAAUCAAAGCAAGGCUGAAUAACAGAAAUAACAUGGAGAAUUCUUAGCACAUACUGUUAAUACAUAUCUUUU